rnacentral:lncRNA from 1 species
UUAAACAUCGGCAUCAGUCUGGUUCCUCCUUAAGGUGCAUACUGCCCACUGCCAGGGUCUUACACCCUUUGAUUUUCACUGUGCUCUUGCUGAUGACUUACUUGUCUUUGUUGCAGAGAUGACCGCGGAAAAAGAUGCGGGCUCCCUGAAUAACCCAAAUAAAAAGAUCUGUUGAAAAAGGACAGCUGAGUCUGCAGGCGGCUGGAGCAUUUGCAUCAGAAUCGAAAGUCCUCUAGCACCGCUAGCUUCUGGAUCAGGAGGUUCUGAACUUCCCUGUGCUAAUGACCUCAGAAUGGUAAGAGUCAGCUCGACCUCUCCGACCUCCGAUGGAGAUCGAAGGAGCCAAACGAGCUGGGCUCCUGAGGACGUAAUUUUGAGUUUGCCGACCCCUCCUGCCAUUGAAUUUUUCCUAGGAGAUGAGCCAACCAAAGAGGCUAGGACUUCUGAUAUCGUGCCCA